CCUGUAGGCCUUCACAUGCCUCCCACAUGGGCAGCAGCAGCCUACCUACCCCGGUUGUAUCACCUUGCCCUGCAGCCGGCCCAAACACCCGCCUCGGACUGUCUCCGACUGCUCCAGCAGAUAAUUUCAGCAGCCUCUGAACAAGGAAGAACAAAAUCUGUUGAAGGGCAAUCCAAUUCAAUCCAACCAAGAACCAAUAUAACAAAAUAAACUUGGCUCUGACUUCAGAUUAAUC